UACGUAGGGUGCAAGCGUUAUCCGGAUUUACUGGGUGUAAAGGGAGCGUAGGCGGUUAUGUAAGUCUGAUGUGAAAGGUGGGGGCUCAACCCCCAAACUGCAUUGGAAACUAUAUAACUGGAGUAUCGGGGAGGUAAGCGGAAUUCCUAGUGUAGCGGUGAAAUGCGUAGAUAUUAGGAGGAACACCGGUGGGCGAAGGCGGCUUACUGGACGAAGACUGACGCUGAGGCUCGAAAGCGUGGGGAGCAAACAGG
rnacentral:rRNA from 1 species